rnacentral:rRNA from 1 species
UACGUAGGGCGCAAGCGUUGUCCGGAAUUAUUGGGCGUAAAGAGCUCGUAGGCGGCUUGUCACGUCGGGUGUGAAAGCCCGGGGCUUAACCCCGGGUCUGCAUUCGAUACGGGCUAGCUAGAGUGUGGUAGGGGAGAUCGGAAUUCCUGGUGUAGCGGUGGAAUGCGCAGAUAUCAGGAGGAACACCGGUGGCGAAGGCGGAUCUCUGGGCCGAUACUGACGCUGAGGAGCGAAAGCGUGGGGAGCGAACAGG